UACGAAGGGGGCUAGCGUUGCUCGGAAUCACUGGGCGUAAAGGGUGCGUAGGCGGGUCUUUAAGUCAGGGGUGAAAUCCUGGAGCUCAACUCCAGAACUGCCUUUGAUACUGAGGAUCUUGAGUUCGGGAGAGGUGAGUGGAACUGCGAGUGUAGAGGUGAAAUUCGUAGAUAUCAGGAGGAACACCGGUGGCGAAGGCGGCUAUCUGGACAGAGUCUGACGCUGAGGCGCGAAAGCUAGGGGAGCAAACAGG
rnacentral:rRNA from 1 species